rnacentral:rRNA from 1 species
AACGAACGCUGGCGGCAUGCCUAACACAUGCAAGUCGAACGAGACCUCCGGGUCUAGUGGCGCACGGGUGGGUAACGCGGGGGAAGCUGUCCAUAGGUUCGGAAUAACUCGCCGAAAGGGGUGCUAAUACCGGAUAAUUUCUACGGCCCAAAGAUUUAUCGCGAUAGGAUGGGCCCGCGUGGGAUUAGCUAGUUGGGAGGGUAAAAGCCUACCAAGGCGACGAUCCAUAGCUGGGCAGAGAGGAUGGUCAGCCACACUGGGACUGGGACGCAGCCCGGACUCCUACGCGAGGGAGGAGUGGGUGAUAUAGGAAUGUGGGCGGAGGCAUGAUCGAGCAAUGCCGGGUGAGUGAUGAUGUCCGUAGAGUUGUAAAGCUCUUUUACCCGGGAUGAUAAUGACAGUACCGGAAGAAUAAGCUCCGGCUAACUCCGUG